CCCUUAGAUGUUCUGGGCCGCACGCGCGCUACACUGAUGCAUUCAACAAGCCUAGCCUUGACCGAGAGGUCCGGGUAAUCUUUGAAACUGCAUCGUGAUGGGGCUAGAUUAUUGCAAUUAUUAAUCUUCAACGAGGAAUGCCUAGUAAGCGUGAUUCAUCAAAUCGCGUUGAUUACGUCCCUGCCCUUUGUACACACCGCCCGUCGCUACUACCGAUUGAAUGGUUUAGUGAGGACUCCUGAUUGGCGCCGCCGCCCCGGCAACGGAGCAGCGGACUGCCGAAAAGUUGUUCAAACUUGAUCAUUUAGAGGAAGUAAAAGUCGUAACA
rnacentral:rRNA from 1 species